AUAACCUCAUCUUGCUGGCCGCCAUCCGGGCGUCUGAGCAGUGUUUUCUCGAGAAGGGACACAGGCGCUCCGCCUGGAUGAGGAGAGAGA
ncrna:unclassified sequences RAGATH-10 RNA